AUGUCGACAAACGUAAAAAAAAAAAAAAACUACAGAACACGGAGAUCGCGAUGCAGACGGAGGUCUCGAGGAACUACGCCUCUGCCUCUUCCUCUUCUCCGAUUCAAAGCGCAAAGAGCUCUGAUCGAUCAACUUCUCCACAAACGAAACUCCACUUUAUUUUCUUAAAAUAAUUUGGACGGUUCUUAUUCCUUGGAGAUUGAUGUCUCCUCACAUCUCCAAAAAUCAGCAGUUCCAUUUUCUAAUCGUGAUUCCCCAACUUCAAUUAUGAUUAUAAUGGCCGCUCCCUCAUAUUUAUUUGCCUCUCCCUCAUAUUUAUCAUCUCUUUCUGUGACGAUUAUAAAAUCCUUCCUUCCACGAUCCUAAUGAUCGAUAGAAUCCUUCCUUCCACGAUCCAAAUGAUCGAUAGACUAAAAGUCUAAAACCCUUGCAAGAUUCUCUAAAAUCGAAUAAUGACAUUUAAAAGAUCUGCAGGUAUGGUCUCUAUAUUUCUCUUUAAAGCGAUAAGAAUAUCCUUUUCCUCUGUUAUUAUGAUUCGAUCAGUAUAAUAAUUUGUUUUGGUGUUUAUAAAGAAUAGAUCCUCCUUAAAUUUUAUGUUCCAAAGGAUCAAGUGUUAUGUUAAUCUUAUGAGGUAGACGUAAUGGAUUUUAGACUAUUGAUUAGCUUAUGUGUAUACCUUAAUCAAUGUAUUAUUUUAUUUCCUUCAGAUGUUGUUAUUCUCCAUCUUAAUUCUUAAAAGACUGCAAAAUUAUAGUACUAUUUUUCAGCAGCGGAAGUGUAAGUGACAAUCACUUCUAGGAAACCAUCUCUAUAUCUAUGGCAACUGGCUUCAGCUUAAAAAAUCUAUAAGGCACAAUAGAGCACAAACUGUGUGAUCUGGCAUGAAGAGUAGGACUUGAAGUUGUUGACCUUCCACCUGAUAUCCGAGAGAGCCCACCACACUCGAGAAGGAGUGCUUCAAGAACCAUUCAAUGGCUCUAAAUUCAUACAUGCCAAUAGUUUUCAAGCAUAAGUUUGGGUCAUGUAACUGGUACACUGAUGCGUACUCCUCCAGGAUAUGCAGAUUCUUAGUGUUCAUUUUCUUCUCCUUAUUUUGAUUUAAGGGAACUGCAGUAAUCAUGAGGAAGAUGAUAGAGACAGCUUUUCCUUUAUUAGAGCUGGUGGCCGAAAAGCCUUUUAGCUAAGGCUGUGACAGGUGCUCAGAUUGGAGUUAUUGGUCUCAUAAUGGGAUGUGAGCAUAUAUUUCCCAUGAUUGGAAUCGCACACCUCCCUGCAUGGUCCUGUGAGGAAAAAUAGAUAUGGGCCCAGUUGGCUUCUCGGUAAGUUCCUGCAGUCAUUUCUAAACAACUCAUGGGUCUCUGAAGCUAUCUGCAAUUGGGAAUCGGUGUUCUUUACAUUAAAAUAAGAAGGUUUUCCGGGGAGAUCGAGUUGAAAUACCUCAUCGGCAAAACCCUGAUGGAACCAUUGUCAAAUGCAUCGGCUGAGAAAUCUCUGGCUACAAGGUGUUGUGUCAGCUCCCUACCUUAAACAGAGAGUGUUGCAGCCACAUGAUGUACAAAUAGAAGGGUUUGUAUGAGAAACAAAAGAAAGACUAACUCUCAGACUCAUCUGUUGGUUUGAUUGAGGAGUGUAUGUGUUGUAUUUAUCGUUAUGAUGGCAUGGGGUAGCUAUCAAGUUACUUCGUAUAGAUCAUGUAGAGGUUUCUCAUAUUCGGGCUAUAAAGUUUCAUGUACAUGCAGUAAGAUUCGGGAGAGUACGUGAAAGCUAUCUAUGAUUGUUAUUUAGCACUGGUCAUACGUAAGUAAGAAAAUGUAUUGGACAUAUCCUAUUCCAAGAGUGAAACUUUUUAAAUUUUGACUACAAA